rnacentral:lncRNA from 1 species
CACUUGCAAGUUUCAGGACAAUUCCGGCUUCUAAUUUACGUCCAUUGAUACUUUUGCUGGACUGAUUAAAUCGUCUUUCCCCUUUCUUCCGACUGGUGGGAAGUUCUAAAUCUUAUUUCUAUUCUGACCAGUGGUUACCCCAAUUUUUUAAAACAAAUAUGUUUAAAUCACUUUGAAAAAAUGUUGGCAUCAAGAAUUAAUAUUUGUAAAGAUCCAAACUUGGGAAAAGCUGAAAUAUUGGGCUCAUUUUUAUUCCACACUCUUCCCAUCCUCAUCUUCCUAGAUUCUGAUGACAUCAUCUUGAGUUUUAGAAACUCAUUUUAUCGUGCUUUUUUUUUAAAAAGCCUUUCUUAAUGAGUCACAUAGCCUCAUGAUCAACAGUUGUUUAGAUGAAGACGUAAGAGCUCCUGGUUUCUCUUCUAACCAGUUUUCUGUAGCCAGUGCCCCUGCCCUUAACUCCACAUCCAGAUUUAGUUUUCACUUUGCUGGAAUAUAUCCUUAAUUGGGGUGACAGGGUGAUUUCUUGGUUGGUUGUUUUUGUUUGAUUUUUGGAGAAAAGUCCUGUGUGGGUGGGGCCCUGGAUCUUGAUGUUACCUGGCCCUUGUCUGUGUGCCAGGUGGACUGGGGACUGUGGAUGUCUGGGCUCUGCCCUACCCCAAGGACACGUCAAGACCUCCAUGCCACCCCUCCAUGGUCACCCUUUGUCACAGAGCCAGUUUGAGUUUCUUUCCUUUCUAGAAGGUACCUCCUUGUUUUCUCUCCUGUAGCGUUACAUUUAUCUAUUUUCCCUAAAAUUCAGGAAUUUCAACAGAUUAAGCCUAGGUGUGUGGCUAGUUUGUUUGAGUUUCUUUCCUACUUACUACCCUGAACCCUCUGAUCUGGAUUGUUGAGUCUUCACUUCUGAGAAGUUUCUUUCUGUCCUGUCACUUCUGCUAGAAGCAUCUUCUCUGCCCUCUCUGUUGUCCCUGAAAAUGCUGCUGAGCAGAACUCACAGGCCUGUGACCAGUGUCUCUCCUCUCAUCUGAUGUGCUUUUUUGACUGUACUGCAUUCUAAGAGAAUGCCUGACUUCUCUGUCACCAUCUCAGGAGUGAACUGUUUUCCCCACGGAGCAGGCUCCCCAGGAGCUCAUGCCUGGCCCACUUCCCUGCACCACGGCCGCCACACGGCUCCGUCUCUCGCUCUAGUUCUCCUUUCUGGGAGAGUGACUCCAUUUGGGGCUCGUCGUCUCUGUUGGGUUUUCAGUGGCUGCAUUUGGGGUUCCUCAUGUCUGUUGGGUUUUCAGUUCUCCUUUUGCAUACUGAGAGAACAACUUUCUAGUGAUUGGAACUGUCUAGAAAAGUUUCCUGAAAGGAAUUGAGCUCCCCUGACUGGAAGUGUUCAGGUUGGAAUUGGAUGGACACUGUUGUUACGGACACGGUGAUAGGGGAUCUGGCUGAAAGGAUUAACCCACGUGAUCUCCAGGUGUCUUCUAAACUCGAGAUCCUACGGAGUGCAGUUUGCUUGUUUUUAAAUUCUCUGUGCAGAUGACUGUAACGGUACAGUACAGUUACCUAUUGUAUCAAUGACACUUUUGAAGGUUUUUAAAAAUAAUAAUAGUUCACUGACUGCCGUCCUCAGGCCAUCUCCCGGGCAUGCAUGUGCUCAAGUCAGGAGCCAGAUUCUUACAUGCAUCCCUGAAUCCACGCCGCAGCCCUGUGGGCCGGGCCUGCCGUCACCCUUCACAGUGGAAGCAGCCGCAGCCGGCAGACACCACGGGGCUUGCAGCUCACAGCCAUAUUCCACUGUCCAUAGGACAAGUACAGCUUGAACCCACAUCCCACCUUUCACCACCCCAAGCCUUGCCUCCUACGGACGAAGAUAGUGCACGGGAGUGCCUUGGGGCUCCCCCAGGAGCUGCUUCAGGAAAAGGAGGAGCUGGCAGGAUCACUGUGAGCCUCUCAGCCCCACUCCACCGGCUGCUCCCCUUCAUCCACAUCCAGUUAGCAUCUCCUGCCCAUGCAGCUCUCUGGACAUGAGCCCACCUCACUCAGGACCACAGCUCUGAGGCUCCUUCCACAGCUGGUGUUUUAAAACCCUGAGGUCUCCUUUGAGAAAGAAGUGUUAUGUGGCCAGAGGUCCUCUGUGUAAAGCCCUCAGCACCUGGCUGGGGUUAGUGGACAACCAGGACAAGGCACUUCCAAGCUGGCAGAGAAAGCCUGAGAGCAGCCCUGGGGAGUGGGCUGGAAGGGUCAGGAGAACCCAGCCAUCUUGCUCUGUACGGAUUCUAAUGGCUUGUGUUUAUUUCUCUGUCAGCUCAAGGGCUGCCCUUCUUAAGACGAUCACAAUGAAAGGCUCAAAGGUGCUCUGCUCUCAGCUUAAAUGGCAGGUUGGUUUUGGACCCAGAGGGGCUCAGAGGCUCCCUCCUGUGUUGCAUGGCCUGUAUCACCCUCACUGGGGGUGCUGUGCACAGUUUUCGUUAUACUGUAACUUAUGCCCAGGUCUUGACUCCUUCUUAUUUGCAGAAUAAAGGCCACUUUCAGUCGAGAUUGUACGUACACAUUUUCCUUGAUCCACUAAUGAAUGUCUGAUAGUUUUUAUAACAUGAACCCAUAAUAACCCUAAAAUAUCCAUUAAUCAUUAUGUAUAUUAUUCAUUUUUGAUUACCCUACUAUAUGAGGAACCUAUUGGAAAAUACCUUUAGGGUAGAAAUAAGAAAAAGCAUCAAUGCCAGCUCUUCUGAGUUUUUUAAUUGUAGCAGUUAUUAGGCCAAUUCACAGUUUCUCUGU